rnacentral:rRNA from 1 species
CCUCGCCCCGUGUUGCCAGCGGAUUAUGCCGGGAACUCACGGGGGACCGCCGGGGUUAACUCGGAGGAAGGUGGGGAUGACGUCAGAUCAUCAUGCCCCUUACGUCCAGGGCUUCACGCAUGCUACAAUGGCCGGUACAACGGGAUGCGACGCGGCGACGCGGAGCGGAUCCCUGAAAACCGGUCUCAGUUCGGAUCGCAGUCUGCAACUCGACUGCGUGAAGGCGGAGUCGCUAGUAAUC